CAUCUAAGCCAUACCAUUCUGAACAGACCCAGUCGCAUCUGAUUUUGGAAAAUAAGCAUGUCAAGCUUGGUUAGUGCUUGGAUGG
rnacentral:rRNA from 1 species